CUCCUGGAUUCAGCGGCGGACGGGUGAGUAAUGCCUAGGAAUCUGCCUGGUAGUGGGGGACAACGUUUCGAAAGGAACGCUAAUACCGCAACGUCCUACGGGAGAAAGCAGGGGACCUUCGGGCCUUGCGCUAUCAGAUGAGCCUAGGUCGGAUUAGCUAGUUGGUGAGGUAAUGGCUCACCAAGGCGACGAUCCGUAACUGGUCUGAGAGGAUGAUCAGUCACACUGGAACUGAGACACGGUCCAGACUCCUACGGGAGGCAGCAGUGGGGAAUAUUGGACAAUGGGCGAAAGCCUGAUCCAGCCAUGCCGCGUGUGUGAAGAAGGUCUUCGGAUUGUAAAGCACUUUAAGUUGGGAGGAAGGGUUGUAGAUUAAUACUCUGCAAUUUUGACGUUACCGACAGAAUAAGCACCGGCUAACUCUGUGCCAGCAGCCGCGGUAAUACAGAGGGUGCAAGCGUUAAUCGGAAUUACUGGGCGUAAAGCGCGCGUAGGUGGUUUGUUAAGUUGGAUGUGAAAUCCCCGGGCUCAACCUGGGAACUGCAUCCAAAACUGGCAAGCUAGAGUAUGGUAGAGGGUGGGUGGAAUUUCCUGUGUAGCGGUGAAAUGCGUAGAUAUAGGAAGGAACACCAGUGGCGAAGGCGACCACC
rnacentral:rRNA from 1 species